UUAAAUUGAAGAGUUUGAUCAUGGCUCAGAUUGAACGCUGGCGGCAGGCCUAACACAUGCAAGUCGAACGGUAACAGGAAUCAGCUUGCUGAUUCGCUGACGAGUGGCGGACGGGUGAGUAAUGUCUGGGAAACUGCCUGAUGGAGGGGGAUAACUACUGGAAACGGUAGCUAAUACCGCAUAACGUCGCAAGACCAAAGAGGGGGACCUUCGGGCCUCUUGCCAUCGGAUGUGCCCAGAUGGGAUUAGCUAGUAGGUGGGGUAAAGGCUCACCUAGGCGACGAUCCCUAGCUGGUCUGAGAGGAUGACCAGCCACACUGGAACUGAGACACGGUCCAGACUCCUACGGGAGGCAGCAGUGGGGAAUAUUGCACAAUGGGCGCAAGCCUGAUGCAGCCAUGCCGCGUGUAUGAAGAAGGCCUUCGGGUUGUAAAGUACUUUCAGCGGGGAGGAAGGGAGUAAAGUUAAUACCUUUGCUCAUUGACGUUACCCGCAGAAGAAGCACCGGCUAACUCCGUGCCAGCAGCCGCGGUAAUACGGAGGGUGCAAGCGUUAAUCGGAAUUACUGGGCGUAAAGCGCACGCAGGCGGUUUGUUAAGUCAGAUGUGAAAUCCCCGGGCUCAACCUGGGAACUGCAUCUGAUACUGGCAAGCUUGAGUCUCGUAGAGGGGGGUAGAAUUCCAGGUGUAGCGGUGAAAUGCGUAGAGAUCUGGAGGAAUACCGGUGGCGAAGGCGGCCCCCUGGACGAAGACUGACGCUCAGGUGCGAAAGCGUGGGGAGCAAACAGGAUUAGAUACCCUGGUAGUCCACGCCGUAAACGAUGUCGACUUGGAGGUUGUGCCCUUGAGGCGUGGCUUCCGGAGCUAACGCGUUAAGUCGACCGCCUGGGGAGUACGGCCGCAAGGUUAAAACUCAAAUGAAUUGACGGGGGCCCGCACAAGCGGUGGAGCAUGUGGUUUAAUUCGAUGCAACGCGAAGAACCUUACCUGGUAUUGACAUCCACAGAACUUUCCAGAGAUGGAUUGGUGCCUUCGGGAACUGUGAGACAGGUGCUGCAUGGCUGUCGUCAGCUCGUGUUGUGAAAUGUUGGGUUAAGUCCCGCAACGAGCGCAACCCUUAUCCUUUGUUGCCAGCGGUCCGGCCGGGAACUCAAAGGAGACUGCCAGUGAUAAACUGGAGGAAGGUGGGGAUGACGUCAAGUCAUCAUGGCCCUUACGACCAGGGCUACACACGUGCUACAAUGGCGCAUACAAAGAGAAGCGACCUCGCGAGAGCAAGCGGACCUCAUAAAGUGCGUCGUAGUCCGGAUUGGAGUCUGCAACUCGACUCCAUGAAGUCGGAAUCGCUAGUAAUCGUGGAUCAGAAUGCCACGGUGAAUACGUUCCCGGGCCUUGUACACACCGCCCGUCACACCAUGGGAGUGGGUUGCAAAAGAAGUAGGUAGCUUAACCUUCGGGAGGGCGCUUACCACUUUGUGAUUCAUGACUGGGGUGAAGUCGUAACAAGGUAACCGUAGGGGAACCUGCGGUUGGAUCACCUCCUUACCUUAAAGAAGC
rnacentral:rRNA from 1 species